GAUGAAGAACGUAGCGAAACGCGAUAGUUAAUGUGAAUUGCAGAAUCCAGUGAAUCAUCGAGUCUUUGAACGCACAUUGCGCCCCUUGGUAUUCCAUGGGGCAUGCCUGUUCGAGCGUCAUUUGUACCUUCAAGCUCUGCUUGGUGUUGGGUGAUUGUCUAUCUUUAUAGACUCGCCUUAAAGUCAUUGGCAGCCGGCAUAUUGGCCUGGGAGCGCAGCACAAGUCGCGCUUCUUGUCAUGAAUGUUGGCGUCCAGUAAGUCUACAUAUUUUGCUCUUGACCUCGGAUCAGGUAGGGAUACCCGCUGAACUUAAGCAUAUCAAUAAGCGGAGGA
rnacentral:misc_RNA from 1 species